GAGGUUAAACGGCCGCGGUAUUCUGACCGUGCGAAGGUAGCAUAAUCACUCGUUCCUUAAUCAGGGACUAGAAUGAACGGCUAGACGAGGGUUUAACUGUCUCUUAUUUUCCAUCAGUGAAAUCGACCUUCCCGUGAAGAGGCGGGAAUAACACAAUAAGACGAGAAGACCCUAUGGAGCUUUUAAUCUAUUAGUUUAAUUCAAUAACCAAAAAUCUAAUGAAUCAAAAUACGAAACCUAAGCUAAUAAUUUUGGUUGGGGUGACCUCGGAGAACAAAAAAACCUCCGAAAGAUUGCGACCAAGACAUACAUGUCAGGGUAUAGAACGCUAAUGAAAUUGACCCAAUCACUUGAGCAACGAACCAAGUUACCCUAGGGAUAACAGCGCAAUCCCGCUUGAGAGUUCAUAUCGAAAGUGGGGUUUACGACCUCGAUGUUGGAUCAGGAUAUCCCAA
rnacentral:rRNA from 1 species